rnacentral:rRNA from 1 species
CCUACGGGAGGCAGCAGUGGGGAAUAUUGGGCAAUGGGCGCAAGCCUGACCCAGCAACGCCGCGUGAAGGAAGAAGGCUUUCGGGUUGUAAACUUCUUUUCUCAGGGACGAAGAAAGUGACGGUACCUGAGGAAUAAGCCACGGCUAACUACGUGCCAGCAGCCGCGGUAAUACGUAGGUGGCAAGCGUUAUCCGGAUGUAAUGGGGGUAAAGGUCGUGUAGGCGGGAAAGCAAGUCAGAUGUGAAAACCCUGGGCUCAACCUGUGGCCCGCAUUUGAAACUGUUUUUCUUGAGUACUGGAGAGGCAGACGGAAUUCCUGGUGUAGCGGUGAAAUGCGUAGAUAUGAGGAGGAACACCAGUGGCGAAGGCGGUCUGCUGGACAGCAACUGACGCUGAGGCGCGAAAGCGUGGGGAGCAAACAGGAUUAGAUACCCCAGUAGUC